rnacentral:rRNA from 1 species
AUGCACGCUGGCGGCGUGCCUCAUCCCUGCAAGUCGAGCGAACGGACGAGAAGCUUGCUUCUCUGAUGUUGGCGGCGGACGGGUGAGUAACACGUGGAUAACCUACCUAUAAGACUGGGAUAACUUCGGGAAACCGGAGCUAAUACCGGAUAAUAUUUUGAACCGCAUGGUUCAAAAGUGAAAGACGGUCUUGCUGUCACUUAUAGAUGGAUCCGCGCUGCAUUAGCUAGUUGGUAAGGUAACGGCUUACCAAGGCAACGAUGCAUAGCCGACCUGAGAGGGUGAUCGGCCACACUGGAACUGAGACACGGUCCAGACUCCUACGGGAGGCAGCAGUAGGGAAUCUUCCGCAAUGGGCGAAAGCCUGACGGAGCAACGCCGCGUGAGUGAUGAAGGUCUUCGGAUCGUAAAACUCUGUUAUUAGGGAAGAACAUAUGUGUAAGUAACUGUGCACAUCUUGACGGUACCUAAUCAGAAAGCCACGGCUAACUACGUG